rnacentral:rRNA from 1 species
ACAUGCCUACAACAUAGCAUUAAAGAAUUGGAUCCCAUUAGAACUCCACAAUCAAGCGGCUCAGGCUAGAGUAGUACUGGGAUGGGUGACCGUACGGGAAGUCCUAAUGUUUUACAUGAC